rnacentral:snoRNA from 1 species
GUGCAAUGAUGCAUUUUAGUCAACACAUCAUUCUGAAAAGACAAGUGUUUGGAAAACUAAUGGCUGAGCACA